UCCAUUUUUUUUUUUUUUUUUUUUUGUUGGGUGUUUGGGAGUUUGGGUUGUUAAUAAAGGGAGGGAGAGGAGUCGAAAGAGGAAGGUAUUUCAAACAAAAAGAAAGAAAGGGUUUCUUUUUGUUAAUGAGGGUUUAAAUUCUUCUUCUUUGUUGGGUUUCUUUUGCCAUGGAACGGUUGGAAAA
rnacentral:ribozyme from 1 species